rnacentral:siRNA from 1 species
UGGUUGAAAAGCCAGUGGCGC